rnacentral:lncRNA from 1 species
UCUUCAAUAAAAUAUGUUUCCUCCUUAACAAAACAGUGAUAUGACUUUGUUUUUUUUCUUGAAUUGUUAAAGCAAAAAAAAAAAAAAAACACUCAACCAAAACACAAGAAAAUUCAAUAUACAGUUUGGGUGUUGGGAACGAGAUAGUCGACACGAAAAAAAUCAAUUUUUUUAACACAGGUGCCAGCAAAGGGAAGAUAGAC